GGUAGCGUGGCCGAGCGGUCUAAGGCGCUGGUUUAAGGCACCAGUCUCUUGGGGGCGUGGGGUCGAAUCCCACCGCUGCCA
rnacentral:tRNA from 1 species